rnacentral:rRNA from 1 species
UACGGAGGGUGCAAGCGUUAUCCGGAUUCACUGGGUUUAAAGGGUGCGUAGGUGGGUUGGUAAGUCAGUGGUGAAAUCCCCGAGCUUAACUUGGGAACUGCCAUUGAUACUAUUAAUCUUGAAUACCGUGGAGGUCAGCGGAAUAUGUCAUGUAGCGGUGAAAUGCUUAGAUAUGACAUAGAACACCAAUUGCGAAGGCAGCUGGCUACGCGAAUAUUGACACUGAUGCACGAAAGCGUGGGGAUCAAACAGGAUUAGAUACCCUGGUAGUCCACGCCCUAAACUAUGGAUACUCGACAUCAGCGAUACACUGUUGGUGUCUGAGCGAAAGCAUUAAGUAUCCCACCUGGGAAGUACGAUCGCAAGAUUGAA